UGAUGCCAGGGAGGCUGUUGUAAA
rnacentral:misc_RNA from 1 species